rnacentral:rRNA from 1 species
AUUGAACGCUGGCGGAAUGCUUUACACAUGCAAGUCGAACGGUAGAGGGGGCAACCCCUCGAGAGUGGCGAACGGGUGAGUAAUACAUCGGAACGUGCCCAGUCGUGGGGGAUAACGUAGCGAAAGUUACGCUAAUACCGCAUACGAUCUACGGAUGAAAGCGGGGGACCGUAAGGCCUCGCGCGAUUGGAGCGGCGAAUGUCAGAUUAGGUACUUGGUGAGGUAAAGGAUCACCAAGCCGACGAUCUGUAGCUGGUCUGAGAGGACGACCAGCCACACUGGGACUGAGACACGGCCCAGACUCCUACGGGAGGCAGCAGUGGGGAAUUUGGACAAUGGGCGCAAGCCUGAUCCAGCCAUUCCGCGUGCAGGACGAAGGCCUUCGGGUUGUAAACUGCUUUUGUACGGAACGAAAAGGCUCUGGUUAAUACCUGGGGCUCAUGACGGUACCGUAAGAAUAAGCACCGGCUAACUACGUGCCAGCCGCCGCAGUAA